AUUGAACGCUGGCGGAAUGCUUUACACAUGCAAGUCGAACGGUAGAGGGGGCAACCCCUCGAGAGUGGCGAACGGGUGAGUAAUAUAUCGGAACGUGCCCAGUCGUGGGGGAUAACGUAGCGAAAGUUACGCUAAUACCGCAUACGAUCUAAGGAUGAAAGCGGGGGAUCGCAAGACCUCGCGCGAUUGGAGCGGCCGAUAUCAGAUUAGGUAGUUGGUGGGGUAAAGGCUCACCAAGCCAACGAUCUGUAGCUGGUCUGAGAGGACGACCAGCCACACUGGAACUGAGACACGGUCCAGACUCCUACGGGAGGAAGAAGUGGGGAAUUUUGGACAAUGGACGCAAGUCUGAUCCAGCCAUUCCGCGUGCAGGAUGAAGGCCCUCGGGUUGUAAACUGCUUUUGUACGGAACGAAAAGGUCUCUCUUAAUACGGGGGACUCAUGACGGUACCGUAAGAAUAAGCACCGGCUAACUACGUGCCAGCAGCCGCCGUAA
rnacentral:rRNA from 1 species